ACCUAAAUUCAGUGGCAGUAUCGUAGCCAAUGAGGUUUAUCAGAGGUGCGAUUAUUGCUAAUUGAAACCUUUUCCCAAUACCCGGCCGUGAUGACUUGCAAUACAGUCAGCACUGGCAAUUUUUUUUUUUUUUUUUUUUUGAGA